GUGAUCACAUAUGGCCGGGGAGAGAGAGAUCACACGUGACUGGAGAGAGUGAUCACAUAUGGCCGGGGAGAGAGAGAUCACACAUGACUGGAGAGAGAGAUCACACAUGGCCAGGGAGUGAGUGAUCACACAUGGCCGGGGAGUAAGUGAUCACACAUGGCCGGAGAGAGAGAGAUCACACAUGGCUGGGGAGUGAGUGAUCACACAUGGCCGGGGAGAGAGUGAUCACACAUGACUGGAGAGAGAGAUCACACAUGGCCGGGGAGUGAGUGAUCACACAUGGCUGGAGAGAGAGAGAUCACACAUGGCCGGGGAGUGAGUGAUCACACAUGGCCGGAGAGAGAGAUCACACAUGGCCAGGGAGAGAGAGAUCACACAUGGCCAGGGAGAGAGUGAUCACACAUGGCCGGGGAGUGAGUGAUCACACGUGGCCGGGGAGUGAGUGAUCACACGUGGCCGGGGAGUGAGUGAUCACAUGUGGCUGGGGAGUGAGUGAUCACACGUGGCUGGGGAGUGAGUGAGCACACAUGGCCGGAGAGAGAGAGCUCACACAUGACUGGAGAGUGAGUGGUCACACAUGGCCGGGGAGAGAGUAGUCACAUGUGGCCAGAGAGAGUGGUCACACAUGGCUGGAGAGAGAGUGAACACACAUGGCCAGAGAGAGAGUGAUCACAUAUGGCCGGAGAGAGAGUGAACACACAUGGCCAGAGAGAGAGAUCACACAUGGCUGGACAGUGAGUGGUCACACGUGGCCGGAGAGAGAGUGGUCACACGUGGCCAGAGAGAGAGAGAUCACACAUGGCCGGGGA